CGAAAGCCUGACGCAGCGACGCCGCGUGAGGGAUGAAGGCCUUCGGUUGUAACCUCUUUCAGCGCCGAAGAAGCGAAAGUGACGGUAGGCGCAGAAGAAGCACCGGCUAACUACGUGCCAGCAGCCGCGGUAAUACGUAGGGUGCAAGCGUUGUCCGGAAUUAUUGGGCGUAAAGAGCUCGUAGGCGGUUUGUCGCGUCUGCUGUGAAAACUCGGGGCUUAACUCCGGGCUUGCAGUGGGUACGGGCAGACUAGAGUGCGGUAGGGGAGACUGGAAUUUCUGGUGUAGCGGUGAAAUGCGCAGAUAUCAGGAGGAACACCGGUGGCGAAGGCGGGUCUCUGGGCCGUAACUGACGCUGAGGAGCGAAAGCGUGGGGAGCGAACAGGAUUAGAUACCCUGGUAGUCCACGCCGUAAACGUUGGGCGCUAGGUGUGGGGCUCUUUCCACGAGUUCCGUGCCGCAGCAAACGCAUUAAGCGCCCCGCCUGGGGAGUACGGCCGCAAGGCUA
rnacentral:rRNA from 1 species